CUGUUAUACCCAGCAUUUUGAAAGUGUUGGAGUCUAUUCCAGUUAGUCGAGUUACCUUCCAAAGGUUAAUAUUGCAUAUCUGCUAUACAUAUCUUUAGCUCUGGAAGGAAUUAGGUAUAGGUUUUGUCUUUCUGUGUUCAGAAAAUUGUAACAUUGGUUGUAUCUUCUAUUAUCGACCAGUUAAUGUCAUCUCUUAUUUUUUUCUGCUUCAUCAGAUCGAUUUGGAAUAAGACAUUGUUGUUUUACUUCUUUUAUAGGCCCUGAAAUUUUGAGUUAAUUGUCAAACAGUAUCUCAAUAUGCAUGAAAAGGGCUACAGGAGGGAGUGUGUGUUAUCAAGAAUUUGUUUGUUUCAGCUAAUUAUGAACAUAAGAUGAUAUCAAUGAGCCUGUUACAAAGAUAUGUUUGGUGCACGCACGUGAUGUUUAAGAAGAAAUAUGGAAUGUACAAAGAAGCACACAAAAAAUCUCAGUUACUAUAUGGACUUAUGGUAAUGAUAAAUCAAUCAGUUGCUCGGAUUCAAGAUCGCAUGCGAUAUGGUUUCUGAAAUCAACACAAUAUGGAUUGAUCGUUAAUACAUGAGUGAGAUUGUUACGAUGGAAAAUGAAAACAAUUUGGUAGUUGAUGCUAAA